AUACCUUCCAGUACCUCAAAGCCAAAGAUCUUCCUCAGCCCAGUCUGACAGUGAUUCCUGCAGUCAUCAAAGAGAGAGACUCAGUUCAGCUGAACUGUCAGACUCCUCCAUCUGUCUCUGAGUGUUACUUCAAAAUGGAAGGGCAAGUGGAAUUCACCCUACCAUCACCCUGUCAACAGACACUCACAGGAACACUACUGGUGAGGUGGACAGGUCAGAGUUCACCAGCUGAGGUCAAAAUACAAUGUCAGUACAGUGCUACAGGUUCACAGUUUAGAUCCAUAUACAGUGAGCCUUCAACAGUCACAAUUCAGGACAUUCCUCAGCUGACAGUGAGUUCUACAGUCAUCAGAGAGACAGAAUCAGUUCAGCUGAGUUGUGAGACUCCUCCAUCUCGCCAUGUGUCUAACUGUUACUUCUACAUAGAGGGGGGGAAGAAUUUUCCAAGGUCAUUGUGUACGCAGACAAUAACAGGAACUGAGCUGCUGAAGAGGGCAGGUCCAACAUUUCCAGCUGUGGUCAAAGUGAAUUGUUACUAUGCUGUAGGGAAGUCUCACACAUCUCCGUUUAGUAACUCUGUCUCAGUCACUGUUCAGGGUAAGUAGGUGGUUUAAACAAUGAUACACUUCACUGUUAUACCGUAUUAAUUAUGCUCGUUCUGAAAAUGAGAUCUUCUGUUGUAUUUCUUAAACGUCUUCAUUUGACAUAAUGAUAGGAUUUACUGUACUUUGUACAAACAUAAAUGCUGACAUAGUUGAACAUUUUAUUAAUGGAUCUACCAUACUGUUAGUAUGUAUGGAUUAGCUGUAAUGUUUUUAAAUGCAACUUUCAAAGAGACACACCUCCUCCCAGGCUGGCCGUUCUACAGUCAUCAGAGAGAGAGACUCAGUUCAGCUGAGCUGUCAGACUCCUCCAUCUGUCUCUGUGUCUCACUGUUACUUCUACACAGAGGGGAGAGAUCCUAAACACUCACCCUGUACACGUUCACUCACGGGGACUGAGCUGCUCUCGUGGGCAGGUCAAAGUUCAUCUGCUGAGAUCAAACUGAGAUAUCUUUACACAGUAGAAACUUACUAUCCAUCGAUGCACAGUGGUUCUGUCUCUCUUACUAUUCUUGGUAAGAAAUGUUAUAUUCAGAUUCUCUUGAAUGAUUCUGUUUAAAUCACAAUCUCAUCCAAUGUCAUUUCAAAAUAGUUGUUGUGAAGACAAAUAUUUGAAAUGUAUAUGUCAGAAGUAGAGUUCUAAGAUCCCACGGCAAACAACCACAGAGACAGGCCAAAGUACAAUCAAAGGUUCUUUAUAAACUCAUCUUUACACAGUAAUACACAGUAUCACUACGGUCCUAUAAGAAACGUAUAAAUAGGCUGGGAUUUAGGGCUGUAGGCUAACUAGAAGCAACGGGCCAAACUAAACCUUCCGAGCAGGGUUUUUUCGUUCGGUUCUACCCGAGCAGGAUUAGUUCGGCUCUACCCAAACAGGGUUCGGCUCUUCCUCCCGAGCAGGGAUCAUUAGUUGAUGGCUGGUCUGGUAGUCGAUUGCUGGUUUGGUGUUCAAUGGCAGGUCACCUUCUGUCCCUCGCUCUGCACCGGCCUGGCUGUGUGGUAGAGUUGGGUGUAGCCUCUCAGCUGCGUCAGGCGUGUCCCCCGUGUCUGUAGUCGUGGGGGACAGAAAAUAUACAAUUAGAGGAUGUACUGGCCAACAAUUGGUGUCACACUCACACGUUCGCAACAAGCACUUUCCUUUAGUAGUGCAAUAGAGAGCAUUGUGAUUUGUGUCUUUCCAACAGCAAGCGACCAGCGGAGACGAGAAGCUUGUCGGUUGAGAGGUCCCUGGUUCAGUUCCUUUUAACUCUAGUUCUGAGGCGUGUUUAGCGAUUGGUUUGGGGAGGCAGGAGGUGAUAGAGAAUCAUCUCAAUGUCACUUUAGUCCAUGUUAAUCUGUGGAAUCACAGCACACCAUACAAGCAAGCAAAAUAGUCCAUGCGAUUCAAUUUGAUUUCACACGUGAGCAUGUAAGGAAUUAAGUGAAAGGAAAUCGUUGUAAACACACAGCACACAUGAUUAAAUGGCACUCAUAAAUAGGAAUGAUAUCAAAUAAGACAUGCUGAUAUGUAAUAUAAAGAGAAUGGCAGGCUCUAGUUUAGUAAGAGUCAGUAUCACUUGUGACAUAUACAUUACAUUCAAAUAGAGUGAUGUAAAAAGGAGUCUCUGUCCUU